ensembl:scaRNA
AUGGUCUGGGGAAAGGCUCCUGUGUUGUUGAACCUGCCGGGUUGUGGGUGCAGCCUUAUAUCAGGAAGCCCAACCUUGACCUAAAAGCAAAUUCCCAGGAGAAGUCUUUCCCGGGAUUUGAAUUUGCAGUAACAGCUGUGAACAUUCUAGCAGCACUUUGAUCAUGUAUGAUACUGCAAACAGGA